rnacentral:rRNA from 1 species
UUUGGGGAAAUGUGUGUCCAAGCAGCAAGUCUGAGAACGAGUGAAAUGCUUUUUCUCUCAAGGACAAGCUGUGAUGGGGAGCGAAAUUUAGUAGCGAAGUUCCUGAUGUCACACUGCCAAGAAAAGCUUCUAGUGAGAAAGUAACUGCCCGUACCGCAAACCGACACAGGUAGUUGAGGAGAGAAUCCUAAGGUGUGCGAGAGAACUCUCGUUAAGGAACUCGGCAAAAUGACCCCGUAACUUCGGGAGAAGGGGUGCUGACCGCAAGGUCAGCCGCAGUGAAUAGGCCCAAGCGACUGUUUAUCAAAAACACAGGUCUCUGCAAAAUCGAAAGAUGACGUAUAGGGGCUGACGCCUGCCCGGUGCUGGAAGGUUAAGAGGAGAGGUUAGCGCAAGCGAAGCUUUGAAUUGAAGCCCCAGUAAACGGCGGCCGUAACAAUAACGGUCCUAAGGUAGCGAAAUUCCUUGUCGGGUAAGUUCCGACCCGCACGAAAGGCGUAACGAUUUGGGCACUGUCUCAACGAGAGACUCGGUGAAAUUAUAGUACCAGUGAAGAUGCUGGUUACCCGCGACAGGACGGAAAGACCCCAUGGAGCUUUACUGCAGUUUGAUAUUGCGUGUUUGUAUCACAUGUACAGGAUAGGUAGGAGCCGAAGAUACCGGGACGCCAGUCUCGGAGGAGGCAACGGUGGGAUACUACCCUUGUGAUAUGACCACUCUAACCCGCUGCUCUUAGCGAGCAGGGAGACAGUGUCAGACGGGCAGUUUGACUGGGGCGGUCGCCUCCAAAAAUGUAACGGAGGCGCCCAAAGGUUCCCUCAGAAUGGUUGGAAAUCAUUCGUAGAGUGUAAAGGCAGAAGGGAGCUUGACUGCGAGACCUACAAGUCGAGCAGGGACGAAAGUCGGGCUUAGUGAUCCGGUGGUUCCGCAUGGAAGGGCCAUCGCUCAACGGAUAAAAGCUACCCUGGGGAUAACAGGCUUAUCUCCCCCAAGAGUUCACAUCGACGGGGAGGUUUGGCGCCUCGAUGUCGGCUCAUCGCAUCCUGGGGCUGUAGUCGGUCCCAAGGGUUGGGCUGUUCGCCCAUUAAAGCGGUACGCGAGCUGGGUUCAGAACGUCGUGAGACAGUUCGGUCCCUAUCCGUCGCGGGCGUUGGAAAUUUGAGAGGAGCUGUCCUUAGUACGAGAGGACCGGGAUGGACACACCGCUGGUGUACCAGUUGUUCUGCCAAGAGCAUCGCUGGGUAGCUAUGUGUGGACGGGAUAAACGCUGAAAGCAUCUAAGCGUGAAGCCCCCCUCAAGAUGAGAUUUCCCAUCACUUUAAGUGAGUAAGACCCCUGAGAGAUGAUCAGGUAGAUAGGUUGGGAGUGGAAGUACAGCGAUGUAUGGAGCGGACCAAUACUAAUCGGUCGAGGACUUAAUCA